rnacentral:lncRNA from 1 species
AGCAGAGCCACAGCACUUAGACUUGAGGGCAGUCGUGCAGGGUUAGAGCUGGGAGGACAGUCAACCGCCCUGUUCUUGAUGACACCCUCACACAGGAAAUAUCUUAUUGUAUUGUACUAACUCUUCUUACGAUGCGAGACAGAAGCCCACAUGAUCGGAGGAAGUGAGGUGGAUGAUGUAGGCAUUGUGAUGUGGCCUUAGGCUACCAGGAAAAGGUUACUGAACACAAGCACGGAGGUCCUACGACAGCUGAUCUUAUACCUCAAACAGCUAAGUGACUAACAGGAAGGUAA